CGCUAUCUACGGCGCUAUACCCUUGCCUCGGUCCUCCGCCGCCCCGCUCGUGCUAGGACCUGUAGGGUUAGUGGUGUGAGAACUACAACGAAGUUCCCAGUGGGCUCGGCAUCCGACCUCGCCGACUUACCCACUAGGUCUAUCCAGGCAUAAGUAUUUCAAGGAAAGAAAAGUAACAAGUACUAAUACAUCUAAUACUAUGCCUGCAGAAGAAUGUCAGUGGAUACAAAUACUCAAUGCGAUAAGAAAAUGUGCAUGCAUGCUCAAUUCGUAAAUAAGCUUUGGCUCUUACCCAAUCUUACCGGUUAACCUUGUUAACCCCAAAAACUCAUAACCCAAAAUCCCUUUCUUUACCGGGGAGGCUCCAAGCACUACCGACCCGAGGGACCGUCUUCAGGGACCUCGCUCCCUGUGGUGUCGAUUUUCGGAAACACACCGCUUGAGGAGGAGCAACCUCCCUCAAGCCAAGACUUAUUAUGAGUGUCGAUCAAAUCCCCGCGUUGAGGAUAUUAAGCCACUUGUCACGAUGCCACUCUUGUGAUAGGUUUUCUACCUAUGUUCUCAAGUCACUCUCUAGUCAAUCUUGUCACAAUGCCACUAUAGUUAAGUCUAUGUUUAGCAUCCGUUUAUUCAAGCCAAUCUAUCUCUCUAUGUCAUUGUCACCAUUUGUUUACUUGUGCUAAGUCCAAGUCUCACUAUCAUGCAAUUCCUAGGGUUCAAUAACACAUGUCCAUCGUGGUUCUAUUUCUCUCUAUUUUCAAAUACACUUGGAAUAAACAUAAUGAAAACAACCAAAGUUCACAUGUGAAUUAACCCUAAUAUGCAUGAAAGAAUAAACAACCAUAUGCUCAAGAAUAUAGAGAAAUAGACAUAGAAGGGAAUCCAACGAUUCCGGCGUGCACCACCCAUCUCUGAUAUUCGUGUGGGUGUAGAAUAUGAAGGCUCCCGCACUUUACGAAAGCCGAUUCUGCGCCCUAUAAUCAAAACGGUGCCAUAUUAGGCCUUUUUGUACAUGAACUAUACUCUAACAUUUUCGCAACGUUAAACGGAGUUGUCCAACGUGUUUAGGGCACCCCUAAUUAGGUUUCUACGAGGUCAAUUUUUUCCCGAAAAAUCCUAGGGCAAAAGCCCCAAUUUUCAAGCCCUAACAAUACCAUCUAGGGUUUCCCCAUGAAUCGAUCCCAACCCUAAGCAAACAAUAGCUUAGGAUCAUCUAAGAAGCAUCCUAGUGAGGUUUCUAGACCUUUGAUACCAACCCUAGGGCUUCUAUGGUGAACCCUAACCAACCACC
rnacentral:lncRNA from 1 species